CAGGAACUUCUAAGUGGCCUGUUUAUUUCGUCCUUACCUGAGGUUCAUUGUUCUGAUGUUAGGACUGUCAACAUUGCCUGGCUUUAUUCCACUUGGGAAUUACCAGCAGGGAAAUCUGCUGUCCAUUUAAGAGCCACUGUCAAGAUCAAGAUUCAUGGUUCCCCCCAUGGCUGCACAGGAAAACAUUGUAUUUUCCAUCAUCUGAUAAAGCUCAUUAAAAUGUUG